rnacentral:rRNA from 1 species
CGGAUAAAAGGUACUCCGGGGAUAACAGGCUGAUACCGCCCAAGAGUUCAUAUCGACGGCGGUGUUUGGCACCUCGAUGUCGGCUCAUCACAUCCUGGGGCUGAAGUAGGUCCCAAGGGUAUGGCUGUUCGCCAUUUAAAGUGGUACGCGAGCUGGGUUUAGAACGUCGUGAGACAGUUCGGUCCCUAUCUGCCGUGGGCGCUGGAGAACUGAGGGGGGCUGCUCCUAGUACGAGAGGACCGGAGUGGACGCAUCACUGGUGUUCGGGUUGUCAUGCCAAUGGCACUGCCCGGUAGCUAAAUGCGGAAGAGAUAAGUGCUGAAAGCAUCUAAGCACGAAACUUGCCCCGAGAUGAGUUCUCCCUGACUCCUUGAGAGUCCUGAAGGAACGUUGAAGACGACGACGUUGAUAGGCCGGGUGUGUAAGCGCAGCGAUGCGUUGAGCUAACCGGUACUAAUGAACCGUGAGGCUUAACCUUACAACGCCGAAGCUGUU